UACAGAGGGGCAAGCGUUGUUCGGAAUUACUGGGCGUAAAGGCGCGUAGGCGGCCUUCUAAGUCGAACGUGAAAUCCCCGGGCUCAACCCGGAACUGCGUCCGAUACUGGAAGGCUUGAAUCCGGAGAGGGAGUGCGGAAUUCCAGGUGUAGCGGUGAAAUGCGUAGAGUAUCUGGAAGGAACACCGGUGGCGAAGGCGGCGACCUGGGUAGACUACUGACGCUGA
rnacentral:rRNA from 1 species